GACGAACGCUGGCGGCGUGCUUAACACAUGCAAGUCGAACGGUGAACCUCUUCGGAGGGGAUCAGUGGCGAACGGGUGAGUAACACGUGGGCAACCUGCCCCCGGCUCUGGGAUAACUCCAAGAAAUUGGGGCUAAUACCGGAUGUUCACCGCUUCCCGCAUGGGUGGUGGUGGAAAGGGUUUCCGGCUGGGGAUGGGCCCGCGGCCUAUCAGCUUGUUGGUGGGGUAGUGGCCUACCAAGGCGACGACGGGUAGCCGGCCUGAGAGGGUGACCGGCCACACCGGGACUGAGACACGGCCCAGACUCCUACGGGAGGCAGCAGUGGGGAAUAUUGCGCAAUGGGCGGAAGCCUGACGCAGCGACGCCGCGUGGGGGAUGACGGCCUUCGGGUUGUAAACCUCUUUCAGCAGGGACGAAGCGCAAGUGACGGUACCUGCAGAAGAAGCACCGGCCAACUACGUG
rnacentral:rRNA from 1 species